rnacentral:misc_RNA from 1 species
UGAACUCACAGAUCAAAGUAGAGCUUCCCUUGGUGAAGAUGGGGCAAUUGAACCUCUAGUCAAAAUGUUUAAAACUGGAAAGCUUGAAGCCAAGUUAUCUGCACUAAAUGCAUUGCAAAAUUUAUCAAUGUUGACAGAAAACAUACAGCGUCUAAUCAGUUCAGGCAUUGUAGUACCCCUGCUUCAGCUACUAUUCUCUGUCACAUCUGUGCUCAUGACUCUUCGGGAGCCAGCAUCAGCCAUACUCGCACGGAUAGCUCAAUCUGAAUCUAUUCUGGUUAACCAAGAUGUUGCUCAGCAGAUGCUCUCUCUUUUAAAUCUGUCCAGUCCGGUAAUUCAGUUUCACCUCUUACAAGCACUCAAUAGCAUUGCUUCCCAUUCUAGGGCAACUAAAGUAAGGAAAAAGAUGAAGGAAAAUGGUGCAUUCCAGCUUCUUUUGCUCUUCCUUACAGAAACUAAUAUGAAAAACAGAACUGCUGCCUUAAAUUUGCUUUACGCUCUUUCUAAAGACUUACCAGAAGAAUUGAUGGAACAGCUCGGAGAAUAUCAACUUAAUAACAUUGUAAAUAUCGUCUCUUCGUCGACAUCUGAGGGUGAAAAAGCUGCUGCUGUUGGAAUACUGAAUAAUCUCCCUGUUGGUAAUAAGAAAGCAACAGAUGUACUUAAGAAAUCUAACUUGCUGCCCAUUCUGAUCUCGAUAAUAAGUUCAAGUGAAUCAACUUCAACGCCCACAACAAGCUGGUUAAUGGAGAACAUUGCAGGCAUAUUUAUUCACUUUACAGUUCCUUCUGAUAAGAAACUACAGCUUCUUUCUGCAGAAUUAGGAGUGAUUCCUUUGCUUGUGAAGUUGCUUUCAAGUGGGUCAUUGGUUGCCAAGUGUAGAGCUGCAACCUCACUAGCUCAACUGUCACAGAAUUCACUAGCUCUAAGAAAGUCCAGAAAAUCGAGGUGGACUUGUAUGCCUCAUUCUGCAGAGGCUUUUUGCGAAGUUCAUGAUGGCUAUUGCAUUGUUAAAAGCACAUUUUGUUUGGUCAAGGCUGGUGCUAUCUGUCCACUGAUUAAAAUAUUGGAAGGUGAAGAAAGAGAAGCUGAUGAAGCUGUUCUUGAUGCACUUGCAACUCUCUUGCAAGAUGAAAUUUGGGAAAGUGGAAGCAACUAUAUAGCCAGAAUGUCAGUUUCCAAAGCAAUAAUAAAAGUUUUAGAAUCAGGAAAUGCAAAAGCUCAAGAAAAAGCACUGUGGAUAUUGGAGAGGAUCUUUAGAAUUGAGGAACACAGAACACAAUAUGGAGAGUCUACUCAGGUGGUGCUCAUUGAUCUUGCACAAAAUGGUGAUCCGAGAUUAAAAUCAUCAGUUGCAAAAGUUUUGGCACAGCUGGAGCUCCUGCAACCUCAAUCUAGUUACUUCUAAGAGAAUUUGUGUCAUAUAAGCAAUGUUGAAUUGAAGUUUGUAUUUCCCAGUGCAGAAAGAAUCAAUCGUGGUGGUCAGGUUGUUUCUGAAAUUAUUGAAAGUUGCUGCACACAUGAUUAUACAGAUAUCAUUUUGGUUCAAGAGCAUCAUGGUGUGCCUGAUGGUUUAAUUAUAAGCCAUUUGCCUUUUGGUCCAACUGCUUACUUUGGAUUGCUCAAAGUCGCAAGUAUUCUGUGUAUUGUUGUAUUAUAUUUUAGGCCUUUGAUUUAGCUUAGUAGUUCAGUCCGUUAAUAUGCUAAUCAAGCAUUUAAUUGUAGGUUACUAUACAUGGACAAAAAAGCCAUUGGAGCAAUGCUUGAGGCUUACCCACAUUUGAUUCUUAAAAAUUUUAAAACCAAGACAUCUUAUUUAAAAGCAUGGAGCUCCUAAGUGUAUCGAGCUUUGAAAUGCUGCUUUAUCAGGCAACUAUUAGUUCACUUUUCAUAAUUGCCACUAAAUUAUAUUAAAAUUUUAAAAUUUCUGUUUUUAGCUUUAUUUUCAAAAAAAUGUUGUUUUGACAAUGGUUUAGUAUUAUGUACUGAUUUUGUUUGGCUUGUCUUUCCUGUUUUUGUUAUGCAGAUGAAGUUGAGAAGAAUGGAUCAGAGCGAAAUCCACAUUGAGAGGGUGAAUUGACCAUACAUCAACACAUCUAAAAAACAGAAGUUUAUUGGGGACUGAUAGACACAACCUCAAAUUUAACCUUCAACCUUUUAUCUUUGUUUCUUUAUAUAUUUUGGAAAAUUUUGCUAAAUAUUCUUUGAAAUCUUGUUGCUCUUUAGUCCUUAUCAAUCUUAUGGUGGUACCACAUUAAAUAGAGGCAGGACCCUAAAGGCAUAGUUUUACUCCAUCUGAACUGGGUUCAAUAAACAUGAUGCACCAUCAAUCAUUUGUUAUUAACGAGCAUUAAAAAUUAAUUGUUAGCCAAGACGAGCAAAUACUUUUUUC